rnacentral:rRNA from 1 species
AUUGAACGCUGGCGGCAGGCCUAACACAUGCAAGUCGGACGGUAGCACAGAGGAGCUUGCUCCUCGGGUGACGAGUGGCGGACGGGUGAGUAAUGUCUGGGGAUCUGCCCGAUAGGGGGGGAUAACCACUGGAAACGGUGGCUAAUACCGCAUAACGUCGCAAGACCAAAGAGGGGGACCUUCGGGCCUCUCACUAUCGGAUGAACCCAGGUGGGAUUAGCUAGUAGGCGGGGUAAUGGCCCACCUAGGCGACGAGCCCUAGCUGGUCUGAGAGGAUGACCAGCCACACUGGAACUGAGACACGGUCCAGACUCCUACGGGAGGCAGCAGUGGGGAAUAUUGCACAAUGGGCGCAAGCCUGAUGCAGCCAUGCCGCGUGUAUGAAGAAGGCCUUCGGGUUGUAAAGUACUUUCAGCGGGGAGGAAGGCGAUAAGGUUAAUAACCUUGUCGAUUGACGUUACCCGCAGAAGAAGCACUGGCUAACUCCGUGCCAGCCGCCGCGGUAA